GUGUCAGCAGCCGCGGUAAUACGUAGGGUGCGAGCGUUAAUCGGAAUUACUGGGCGUAAAGCGUGCGCAGGCGGUUUUGUAAGACAGAGGUGAAAUCCCCGGGCUCAACCUGGGAACUGCCUUUGUGACUGCAAGGCUUGAGUGCGGCAGAGGGGGAUGGAAUUCCGCGUGUAGCAGUGAAAUGCGUAGAUAUGCGGAGGAACACCGAUGGCGAAGGCAAUCCCCUGGGCCUGCACUGACGCUCAUGCACGAAAGCGUGGGGAGCAAACAGGAUUAGAUACCCUCGUAGUCC
rnacentral:rRNA from 1 species